GAGAGGUUCGCUCAGUUUGGUAGAGCGAUGGUCUGAUGAACCAUUUGUGUUUCUCGGCACUCGUGGGUUCGAAUCCCACACCUCUCG
rnacentral:tRNA from 2 species